UGAGCAAUCUGCCCUUCUCUUUGGAAUAAGCGUGGGAAACCGCGUCUAAUGCCGAAUACGACCUCCUUUCGCAUGAUCGGAGGUGGAAAGCUCCGGCGGAGAAGGAUGAGCUCGCGGCCUAUCAGCUAGUUGGUGUGGGUAAUGGCCCACCAAGGCGACGACGGGUAGCCGGCCUGAGAGGGUGACCGGCCACACUGGGACUGAGAUACGGCCCAGACUCCUACGGGAGNAGCG
rnacentral:rRNA from 1 species